CUAACACAGGGUACCUAGUCACCCACCUCUGACCCUUCCUGAGAAAGGCCCCCAAACCAGACUUACUGCUUUGUCCUCAUCUUCAAAAAUGCCACCAGUUCCAUCCGCUUCUCAAGCCAAACCUGAGUCAUUUUCACUUCCAGAACAGCCAAUUCACCACUUUGGAAGGAAUGCAAAAUGACAAGAUAGAGUCCCCAGAGAAUGAGAGGUCAUCUUGGAUGUUCAAGCCCCAGAUGACCUCCCAGCUGACUGUGGUUGCAGAAGUAACUUUGGCUAUAGCACAUGGAGGAGAACAACUUGGGUGAAGUCCAGUCAACCUACACAUUCAAGAGAAUAAAUAAAUCAUUGUUGCUAUA